AUCUCAGUGGCGCAAUGGAAGCGCAGCGGCCUCCAAAACCGAAGGUUGCAGGUUCGAGUCCUGCCUGGGAUGCCA
rnacentral:tRNA from 1 species